UAUCUUUAUUUUAUUUCUAUUUUAUUUUUAUUUUACAGAUGUAGAAAUGGAGGCCCAAAGAAAUUAACUAGGUUGUUGGUUAUAUAAUUAUUUAAUGGGACUCUAGAUCUUGAUGUCAGGCCUUCUGAUUGUUAAAGUCACUUUAUUCCCAGAUGACUUUGCCCAAUGUUUGGUGUUGAGUUUCCAUCAAGAGAAUAAAACUCAGUUAUUGGUCUGUCUUCUCAUCCACAGCAGAGUUCAAAAUGAGCACAGCUUCCCCACAGAGCAGGUGCUAUGAGCAGUGUAGCAGAUCAUCUGCCUCAAGAUCUUCUUCCUACUACCAGAUCUCCUUUUACAUGGCUAGGAAAAUGGAUGUUUGCAGCCACAGAUUCAGAUUCUCCCGGUGACUACAUGUAAAUAAGUAUAAUUAUACAUAUAAAGGUAAAUAUAAAUGUAUAACAUAGCUUAUGAUAUGUCUUAAUUCAUUUGAUAUUCAUAAUAACCCAUGAAGGGUAGAUACUAUUUUUUUAAUCUCAAUUUUGGAUGUGAGGAAAAUGUAACACAGAGAAGUUUAAGUAACUUUCAGAAGGUCACAUAACUCUGUGGUGGCAGGGCCAGGUUCCCAACCCAAAGGGAUCUCAGUCAGAAUCCAUUUUCUUUACUACUUCACUCUAGUAGACCCGUGUCUAACAAGAUGCACAGAAGUCUGUGAUUACCCAGCAGUAUUUUUGUCCCUGCUCUCAAACUGAUCUUUGUAUGUCUUGAGAUGGAGGAAUACUUCACCAGGAAAAACAGAUACUGAAUGCACAAAAACAAGGGUGUUGUUUUGAUAUUGUUCACGGGCCUCUGGAUCACAUGCUUGUGCUCUGGGUUAGGGAGGGACUGGAGGGCUGGUUGGGGGGCUGACACUCCCACCGUAUUUAGCUGAUGAGUGAAAGAUAAUUUCUUAAAGGCAAAGUAGUUUUCUUUUGACAAAAAUGGAUACCUUGAAUUCUGUGUGAUAAAAAUAAUAUUUAUUAUUUUCGCUUGCUUAACAUACGACAUACCUAUGGUCUUUAAACUUGUCCCCAAAUUCUUUGACACUCCUCCUUUAAAACCUUCUCUUCAUCUGGAGUGUGGACUUUGUGACUCACAUCCAAUGACUAGAAUGUGCUAAAAGUGAAGGUAUACAUGACUUUUGGAGGUCAUAAGAGGCAUUACAGCUCCCUCUUCUCAUUACCUCUUGGAUCACUCACUCUGAGGGAAACUGGCUGUCAUGUUGUGAGGACAGUCAAGCAAUCUCCCAGACAGAUCCAUGUGGAAAGAUACUAGGACCUCCUGCCAACUACUAAAAUGACUUGAUGGUCAGUUCUCUUUAAAGAGAUUAAAAAAAAAGAAAAACUUUGAUUUAUAUUUACCAACAUGUUUAUCAUUUUUUAAAUUAAGUUUUUAAUUUCAAUUCCA